UUUCAGGAGAUUUGGUGCAAGGCUCAGGGGACCGUUGUCUGCUCACAUUGAGACCCAGGUCGUUUCAUUCCUACGGGGGUCUGAGGGAGCUCUGAUUCCAUAUUACGCUGGACUGACUAGCAAAUCGAUCUGAGCUAUGAGUGCCGGGAGGGACCAAGGCUUUUUAAAGGAAUUGGAGACAUAAUUGCAAACAAGAUAGACAAAGUCACUGCCCUCCUGGAAUUUAGGGGGACAAAUAUCUUUGAAUGAGGAA